CCGGCUGGCGUGAGGACCCUCUGCUCCUCUCUAAGGUCUGUACAGUAGCCUUAAACCCCCAUUCAGGCUGCUGCCAGGUUCUGAUCAGAGAUGCUUCUUAGAGUUUGGUUCUAGGACGUCGAUGAAGCUCAGCUCCUGUAAACUGCGUCCUCUCCAGGAGAAGGGCAGAUCCAGUGGGACCAACUGUGAGCAGAACAGCGGCCAGGGGGCUGGUCCCAGAGGAGGACUGCAUGUGGAUGAAGCCUCUCCCAGGCCACCCUGCCCUGCCCUGGGAAGGCCACCAGGAGAAUGCCCCCAGGAGGUGCCCCAGAGCCCCAUGAACAAGGGGGUCCCAGCCACUGCAGUCACAGACGACAGCCUCCAACACGUCCCGGGUGGACGUGACCCACAGCUGCCUCUUGCUGUGGGCCCUCUCCUGACGCACACCCUCAGCACAUACUUGUGGGGACCGUGGUUUGUUCCGUCCUGCAAGCUUUGGCUCUUGGUCACAUCAGAGAAACCAGCUUCUUCUUGAUCCUCUCUCAGGCCCAUGGAGGCAUUCAGCUUUGUUCCAGGAGCUUAAAAACACCCAUUUCCUCACCUUCUUUACAAGGCAUCAGCUGGACUAGGUGGGCCUGUGGCUUUGUGGGGACUGCAAAGUGGAACUCAGCAGGUGCCUGAACUGGCAUUGUCAUGACUUUGCAGCUCACAGCAGCGAGCCCCUUUCAACAAGGACCUGGACUCAGGCACAUGGCCUGCUGCUGACCCUGCCCAUGGUCUAGAGCUGUCCCAGCCUGGCUUCAUCUCCCGCUGAAGGUCCCCUACAAGGUCUUGUCGCACUGUCACUUCCUGAGAGCUGGAGGGCUGACCCACAUGAGGACAGGUCUGGCCUCCCUAGGGCAGUCAGCAAGCCCAGGGCCCCCAGGACAGAAGGAGCAGGCCCUAAAUCCAGCUCCAAUUCUCUCCAGUGGAGUGAAACUGCUUUCUCACCUAUAAAAGGACUGGCGUGGCAUCUCCUGUGGCCACAAGGAGGGUGACAGGAAGCUCUAGACAUGUAAGGUGCUUACCCAGCACCAGGGCCAAGGCAAGAGCUCAAAAACAGCAGGGAAGAUGGUUACCUAGCUGCAGACAUAGGUCCUUCGGGUUGUUCUGUUUCGGUGUUGAUGCUUCCUGACCUUGCUCCAAGACAGCGCCACCAAGCAGGCAACAUCUAAGGAACUUCCCACCUGCCCUUUGUGUGCCACCAAGCUAGGCCCCAGAGGAGGCUCCCUCCGGCCCAAGACCCAGAGGCAGAGAGGGCGAACCCUUCCCCCUCAUUGGCCAGAGGCGAUGAGUCAGCCGAGUAUUUGAUCACACAUCUGAGAGAGCUCAUCCGGGAACUCUGAGGAAGCCCGCCUGAAAGGAGCAGUCACCAUGGGACACAGCUGAUAUUCUGAAUAGAAAGGCGGGACUUCACAUUGAACCGGGCUCGUGUUCCCCUUGAUGGUUUCAGCCCAGCACCCCUGCCUGCUGAGAACAUCGUGAUUCCUGGUUCUGGCACUCCUGACUCUGCCUGGGCAUGCCGUUUCUCCAACUCAGCUAACAGAAAGGGGGACACAAUCAAUUGUGGCCUGCAUAAAGAGAUGCUGGGAUAGUCAUGAAUGGAAUACUCUACAGCAACGAGAAGAAACACUCGACAUGUCCACCCAACAGUGGGACGAGCCUCACAAACCUGAGGCGGAGAGAAAGAAGCCAGAGAGAAAAGACACACACUGUGCAAUUCCAUUCACAUGACGUUCAAAAGCAGGCAAAAUCGAGCUAGGCAGCUAGGAAUUAGGCCCGUGGUCAUCCUUGGUGUGGGUGCACAGUGGUGAUGGCGGCAGGACAGGAAGGGGGUUUCUGGGAGCUGUUUAUGAUGCUCUAUUUCUUAAUCUGAAUGGUGAAUAUACA
ensembl:lncRNA